rnacentral:rRNA from 1 species
UUCGGGACGCCGGCGAGUGGCGAACGGGUGAGUAACACGUGGAGACCUGCCCUGGGGUGGGGGAUAACAACUGGAAACGGUUGCUAAUACCGCAUACGCCUUACGAGGGAAGGAUUUAUUGCCCCAGGAGGGUUCCGCGUCGGAUUAGCUAGUUGGUGGGGUAACGGCCUACCAAGGCGACGAUCCGUAGCUGGCCUUAGAGGAUGAUCAGCCACACUGGGACUGAGACACGGCCCAGACUCCUACGGGAGGCAGCAGUGGGGAAUAUUGCGCAAUGGGGGAAACCCUGACGCAGCGAUGCCGCGUGGGUGAAUAAGGCCUUAGGGUUGUAAAGCCCUUUCAGUGGGAAAGAUGAUGACGGUACCCACAGAAGAAGCCCCGGCUAACUCCGUGCCAGCAGCCGCGGUAAUACGGAGGGGGCGAGCGUUGUUCGGAAUUAUUGGGCGUAAAGAGCGCGUAGGCGGCUUUUUAAG